rnacentral:rRNA from 1 species
CGCGUAUAGAAUCUACCUUUUACAGGGGGAGUAGCCUUUAGAAAUGAAGAUUAAUAUCCCAUAGUAUUGCGAAGUGGCAUCACUUUGUAAUUAAAGAUUUAUCGGUAAAAGAUGACUAUGCGUCCUAUUAGUUAGUUGGUAAGGUAACGGCUUACCAAGACUUCGAUAGGUAGGGGUCCUGAGAGGGAGAUCCCCCACACUGGUACUGAGACACGGACCGAGACUCCUACGGGAGGGCAGCAGUGAGGAAUAUUGGGCGAAUAGGAGGGUAACUCUGACCCACGCCACUGCCGCCGUGCA